UGAUCUCUAGUCAGUAGGGACAGAGUUAUAGAAUUACAAGAGGACAUCUGAUCGUUAUUUUGAAGACUAUUUUAAAGAGGUAUGACUGGAUGAAAGCCAUAAGGAGGAGAAAGUGUUGAGGAAGUCUCUUAGAUUUUCAGCAUGGCUGCUUAAAUAAAUGAGAUAUCAGUCAGGGUUCUCCAAAGAAACAGAACCAGUAGGACUGUGGGUGUCGGCAACUCUGAAGUAUGUAGGGAAGACCCAUGGGCUGUAAGCCCUCGGGCAGGAGCUGAUGCUGCUAUCUUGAGGCUGAAUUUGCUUUGUCUUCAGGAAAGUCUCAGUUUUGCUCUUAACGCUUUGCAACUGAUUGAAUGAGACCCACUCAGAUUAGCAAAGAUAAGCUCCUUUACUUAAGGUCAACUGAUGGUAGAUACCAACCACACCUACAAAACAUCUUUUCAGCAAAACCUAGAUUAGCGUUUAUUUGAAUAAUUGGAUACUAUAGCCUAGACAAGUUGACAUGUAAAACUGACCAUCACAGAUGGUGACACUAUUAACUGUAUAGGGACUACAGAAGGGGAAAAUUUGGUGGUUAAUGAGAAAAAAUAAUGUGUUUGGUUUAGGACAUGUUGAGAGUGAGGCACCUACAGUAAUCUAAGGGGAACCGAGAGAUCGUAUAGUGUUCCAAAACGUGUUCUCUGUUAGAAAUUUAGGGUAAGGAGAGCAAACAUCCGGUCUCUAGGGAGCAACCUCUGUUUAGUUGCAGGUAAUUAUUGAUAGACGUAAAGGCUGGUCUGGUGUUGUCAGAUCUUCCCAUUUUUCAAAAGAACCUGGAAAAUCCAAAUGAAUAAGUGAAAACUUCAGGUUUUAAAUACUGUUUCUUAAAUUUGCCUGAAGUCCUGUCGAGCCCAAACAGUAGACAUCUGUGGUCUGUACCCAGUCUGUGGGCGUCCGUUUUGAGAACUCUGGAGAAGAGUGAGGAUAGGAGACCAUGGGUAGAACUCUGGGAACGCCAACGUUCAAGGGUCAAUAAGAGAGCGUGUACACGGUGUAAUAUCAGGACUAACGUGAGGCUUUAAAACAUGACCGUUAGAAGUUAAUUCGUGAAUCAACUUGUAAAUUGUUUUAGUAAUUCGGUGGGAGCAAAAGGUGGACUAUCCAUGUUGAAGAAAGUUUGAGACUCUUCUUUGGAUACCGGCCUCAUGAUUUUUUUCACAUAAGCAGUUUAGUUACUCCCUCCUUAUUUUUAGCUCUUGAGAACACUAGGUACAUUUCUCACUCCCUUCAUAGUUCUGUGCUCAGAUGGAGGGACUAUGUGGUUCGAUGUUCCUGGAACACUUCGACCUUCCUGGUUUCUGGGAUGUAAGGAGUGUAAGCAAAAAGAAAUCAAAUAAACGAUACAUGCCAUUUAUUUCUACCAAUAUGUAAAUUUAUACAAAGCAAUUAACAAAAAUAAUACAUUGCAACAAUUUGUGAACACUGCCCUAAAGAGAAUCACUGCAACUUCACAUAUUCAGCAAAAAAUAAUAAAAUUUACAUAAAGUAUUCAUUCUACCCAAGGCUCUCUGAGACCCCCAGGGAGUAAGUUAAUCAAAGGCCAGGGAACUUGAAGCUUGUAGCAUCUACACUUGUCAGUUGACAAUUCAGGAUUUAAUCAGGCCCCAAUCACACCUGUAGUUUUUCUCUGUUCUAAGACUAGAUAGAAGAAAAAGAGCCCAACGCAAUUGAAAUUGUGUUCGCCCACAAACGGGGAUGAAAUGCUGCUUCGUGUGUGUGUGCGUGCGUGCGUGUGUGUGCACAUAGGAAUGAA
ensembl:lncRNA